CCUACGGGGGGCUGCAGUGGGGAAUAUUGGGCAAUGGGCGCAAGCCUGACCCAGCAACGCCGCGUGAAGGAAGAAGGCUUUCGGGUUGUAAACUUCUUUUCUCAGGGACGAAGCAAGUGACGGUACCUGAGGAAUAAGCCACGGCUAACUACGUGCCAGCAGCCGCGGUAAUACGUAGGUGGCAAUCGUUAUCCGGAUUUACUGGGUGUAAGGGGCGUGUAGGCGGGAAAGCAAGUCAGAUGUGAAAACCAUGGGCUCAACCUGUGGCCUGCAUUUGAAACUGUUUUUCUUGAGUACUGGAGAGGCAGACGGAAUUCCUAGUGUAGCGGUGAAAUGCGUAGAUAUUAGGAGGAACACCAGUGGCGAAGGCGGUCUGCUGGACAGCAACUGACGCUGAGGCGCGAAAGCGUGGGGAGCAAACAGGAUUAGAUACCCUAGUAGUC
rnacentral:rRNA from 1 species